GGGGGCGCAACGCCCUCG
rnacentral:snRNA from 1 species